GAUGAACGCUGGCGGCGUGCCUAAUACAUGCAAGUCGAGCGAACAGACGAGGAGCUUGCUCCUCUGACGUUAGCGGCGGACGGGUGAGUAACACGUGGAUAACCUACCUAUAAGACUGGGAUAACUUCGGGAAACCGGAGCUAAUACCGGAUAAUAUAUUGAACCGCAUGGUUCAAUAGUUAAAGACGGUUUUGCUGUCACUUAUAGAUGGAUCCGCGCCGGAUUAGCUAGUUGGUAAGGUAACGGCUUACCAAGGCGACGAUGCGUAGCCGACCUGAGAGGGUGAUCGGCCACACUGGAACUGAGACACGGUCCAGACUCCUACGGGAGGCAGCAGUAGGGAAUCUUCCGCAAUGGGCGAAAGCCUGACGGAGCAACGCCGCGUGAGUGAUGAAGGUCUUCGGAUCGUAAAACUCUGUUAUUAGGGAAGAACAAAUGUGUAAGUAACUAUGCACGUCUUGACGGUACCUAAUCAGAAAGCCACGGCUAACUACGUG
rnacentral:rRNA from 1 species